AAAAAAAUCCUCCUACUUUUCUUUGGACCAGGAUAGAAAAAAAUUUUUACUGUAAUACAGAGGUCCUACAACAUUAUUAAAGGAUCAUUCACUUUUUCAGAGCCACCACCUUCCUCUAUUUUCUGGAUAGAAACACUUGGACAAAACAUAUAAAGGCAUUUUGGAGCUAAGAAGACCUUUCAUGCUUUUACUUUCAGAAGUGAAAACCUGGUUCUUGGUUACUCGCUGCUGGAAGCAACUUAGUUGUGAGCCCGAGUAACUCUGAGCAGGCGUGCCUUUCCAAAGUUCAAAACUCUAAUUCUCUGCCUUCUGUUGCUAGGGGAGAAAACAGCUUCUAAGUCUUGGUGGAGGCAUUUGAAUAGAAUUCACUAAAGUAUCACAUUUUUAAAGGAACUGAGUGAGGGGGAGGCGGCAGUCUGAGAAUAAAGGAUAUAAAGAAAACAGAAACUCAACAACUGCAAAGCACUUAUUGUCCGCCUCCUCUCUUGUUAAUGUCAGGCUGUGCUCGCGCUCUCCUGUGCUCGCUGCACAAAUGGUAUUUCAGUGGUUGCGGACGGAAGCAUAGCUACUGCUCGAGAUGAGGCACCAAUCUACGCUUUUAAAAUUCCACCCUCAGAGCCCUGGCAUCGUGUACUUUUGUGAAACAAGACGGAGACAGAGAAGUCUAAUUUGAUGCCCCAAUUGCUACUUUAUCUGUAGUCUCACACGGAAAUGGAAAAGGAUGAGGAUUCCACCUGCCUCUCCCACCUUCAGAAAGUACUUACUCUGCCUGAGAGAAUGGCCUGAAAAGUGUUCUAGUUACUACUACUACUGGACCUUUAGAAUUACUGGACCUUUAGAGGAAACCAUGGAAGAUACUGGAAGAAAGCAAGGAGGGACCUGAAGGCAGGAGGCCCUGUGGGCUGUGCCUGUUUCUCUGGUGACUGAGAAGACCUUGGAGCAGGCCCCUGGUAUUCUGGGCAGGAGACAGCUGGUUCACACUAACUGAUAUCCAGGCGGUAGUGAAAGGAACGCACAGCUGGAAAGUCAGCACCACUGGCAAACUCUGCAUGUGGCUCUUCUGUAGACCUAAGAACAUGAGUGCGUGGACCUCUCCUCCCUGGAACACCUACAAGGAUUCCUGCCAUAUGGGUUUGUCUGAACAGGAAACAGCCCUUGUUGAAACCCUGAAAUCGGAAGAAAACGCCCAGUCCUUGGAGGGCCAGGCCUUCCUGGGAUGCCUGGGAUUUGAACUACUACUGGAACAAUCAAAGAGGAAAAGCCGAGUACACACUUGCUCCUGCUGAACUGGCUCGUUUUCCUUGUGCUGACCGAGAGAAUGUGUACUUUUGUGUUUGUAUGUGAGAUCGCAUUUUUCUCCUGAAGUAUUACUCUAAGCUUGGUUCUGCCUAGCUGCAAGCAGGCAGUGGCCACACGAGCUGCUAGCUCAGACCCUGGCCAGGCAUCUGCCAUCUCCACACUCUAAGGAAGUGGCUAUGGCAGGGGCCUAAGGGCACGGGAUGGUCCUGUGGGUUACAUCUGAUUUUGAAUUCCUGCUUUUUCUUGUAGCACGUCUUCUUUUUCUAACAGUAGUGUGUUUGGAAGUGGAGAGAGGAGAGAGAUGGGAGCUGAAUGGCGUGUCCUCUGCUUUAUGUUCACAAAGUGAAGAAAGCUGAACGUUCUCUCCACGUGCUUAUGCGGACACUGCAUUGCCAGCGGAGGGAAGCACAGGUUAGCUGUUAGAAGAGUGUGAGGACAUGGCAGCAGUGUGGUGCUUGUGAUCUGCACAUACAUUCUAAUAAUGAAGAAGACAGACGCUCAAGGACGAGCAGGCUGUGCAAGUGGUAACGUGCUGGAGAUUCACUCUGUAAAAACCUCCUCACCUGCGAAGUGUCUGGAAAGCACAGUCCUUCAAAAAAUUACUCUCAUACUAAAAUAUUUCCAUGUUAUGUAAGACAUGAAAUGGGUACUGAAGUUGCCUAUUGAUUCUGUCACCUAAAAACGCGGCUUUGGGGUUAACGCUUGUGUGUGGCAUAAGGCACAGUCCCACCACAGUCUUCUGCAUGUGAAUGGGCCAGUGGUUUGUCAUCCUUUGUUGAACAGACUAGCAUCGCAUGUGGAAUUGUCCUGCUACCUUUGUCAUACACACAAAGAUGAUUUCUGGUUCAUUCUAUUAUACUAUAUUUGUCAUUAUUUUGAUGAAAUAGCAUUGCAUGAAAGUUUUUAGGCUAGGAAAUGAAUCUGUUUUGUUAUUUCUCAUGAUUAUUUUGCCUGUUUGAAGGUCCUUUGAGAUUCUUCCUACAAUCGGCAUGGGCUUUUCUUUCCCAUGCCCAGGGGAUUCUGAUGGGGAUUGUGCUCACUCUGUAGAUCAUAUUACAUCAAAACAGUGCUGUUUUCUGGUUCAUGCAUAGCCAGUCACCGCC